AAGGGAAUAUUACGCAAUGGGCGAAAGCUUGACGGAGCAACGCCGCGUGAGUGAUGAAGGUCUUCGGAUCGUAAAACUCUGUUAUUAGGGAAGAACAAAUGUGUAAGUAACUAUGCACGUCUUGACGGUACCUAAUCAGAAAGCCACGGCUAACUACGUGCCAGCAGCCGCGGUAAUACGUAGGUGGCAAGCGUUAUCCGGAAUUAUUGGGCGUAAAGCGCGCGUAGGCGGUUUUUUAAGUCUGAUGUGAAAGCCCACGGCUCAACCGCGGAUGGUCAUUGGAAACUGGAAAACUUGAGUGCCGAAGAGGAAAGUGGAAUUCCAUGUGUAGCGGUGAAAUGCGCAGAGAUACGGAGAAACACCAGUGGCGAAGGCGACUUUCUGGUCUGUAACUGACGCUGAUGUGCGAAAGCGUGGGGAUCAAACAGG
rnacentral:rRNA from 1 species